rnacentral:rRNA from 1 species
UACGGGGGGGGCAAGCGUUGUUCGGAAUUACUGGGCGUAAAGGGUUCGUAGGUGGCCAACUUAGUCAGACGUGAAAUCCCUCAGCUUAACUGGGGAACUGCGUCUGAUACUGGAUGGCUCGAGUGCAGGAGAGGAACGCGCAAUUCCAGGUGUAGCGGUGAAAUGCGUAGAUAUCUGGAGGAACACCGGUGGCGAAGGCGGCGUUCUGGACUGCAACUGACACUGAGGAACGAAAGCCAGGGGAGCAAACGGG